UUUCCUGUACCAGUAUUUUUUUUCGUGUUUCUGCGCCCCCCACAGACUCCACACGCUUUCCCCCAAAUCGCCGCCGCCAUGGAGAAGGAGAAGAAGCUGUCCUUCUCCAUCCCUUCCAAGCUCAGGCCGCCCAAGCCGCCCCGCCCCGCCGCCGGCGCUGAUUCCUCCGCCGCCAGCGGCAACUCCGCUUCCGCGGCCGCUGCCCCCGCCCAGCAAUUCGUCACCGAGUUCGAUCCGUCGCAAACCCUAGCCGCCGGCGCCGCGUCCGCCGUCAUCGCGCCCCUCCCCAACUCCGGCCACUUCCUCAACCACCGCUCCCGCAAACCCUCCUCCCUCCCGACCCCCGAGGAGGAGGCCGCCCUUGCGGCCUCCACCGCCGGUGGCCCCACAUUCGUGCUCGACACCUCCGAGGCCCCCGACAACCCCUCCUCCCACAUAGGGUAUGGCCUCACCCGACGCGGCGCCGACGCCGACGCCGAGGCUGACGCCACGGAGCCGGGUAAGACGCAGUCUUCCAAGGAAUCAGAGAAGAAGCCGACCUCUCCAGCCAGAGAUGGCGGCUCCAGCGGUGACCUUAUGCUGCGACGGUACAAGGAGGACAUGGCCAGCCUCCCUGACCACCGUGGUAUAGAUGAGUUUGAGGAGGUGCCUGUGGAGGGCUUCGGUGCUGCCCUCCUUGCUGGUUACGGCUGGUCGGAAGGCAAAGGGCUCGGCCGCAAUAACAAGGAAGAUACCAAGGUUGUUGAGUAUAACCGCCGUGCCGGUACGCUGGGAUUAGGUUACGACCCUUCUGAGGCAGACCCUAAGAAGACUCGCUCCGGCGACUGGGUUAUUGGUGGAAAGAAGCCGACAGAGAAUGGUGGAAAGAAGUCCGCAGAGAAUGGAAAUGCAAAGAAGAGAGAUAUGGACAAGGAAGACAGAGUCCGGGAGAGGGAUUCAAGUUCCCGACAGAAGAGAUCUGGUGAUCUUAGGGCCGAGAGGGAGGUUCGAGAGAAAGAGAGAAAAUCUCGGGAUAGUCGAGAAGAAAAGAGUAGCCGCGAUGUUGGUAACAAAGUGCGCUGGUUACAGAGCAAUAUUAGGGUUAGAGUGGUUAAUGAGAGGUUCAGCAGAAGGUUGUACCUGCAGAAGGCAAAAAUUGUCGAUGUGGUUGGACCAACGACAUGUGACAUAAUGAUGGAUGACGGGUCAGAGCUUGUGCAGGGGGUGGAGCAGGAUAUGCUUGAAACAGUCCUGCCACGGACAAACGGCCAAGUGCUUGUGCUCUGUGGGAAGCACAAGGGGGUGUAUGGGCAUCUGGUAGAGAAGAAUUCAGAGGCAGAGACUGCAGUAGUGGAGGAUGCGGAUACAAAAGACAUGGUGCGUGUGAAAUAUGAUCAGAUUGCAGAGUACGUUGGGGACCCAGAAUUGCUUGGGCAUUGAUUAUUUCUUCUUGAGGAGGGGACAUCUGUUUUCCAGGAGCUCUUCUAAUGUGCGCCUAUCCACCUCAUCACUUGCCACAUCAGCCUAUCUAAACAUGCAGGCGUGUAACGCCAGCCACCUCUUGCGUUUGGUUUUCAGCGGUUGAUGACUUUUCUCCUAUAGUGCCUACUGCUGAAGAUCACAAUGGAAAUACAGAGCGCCUGGCAAAACAAGUUUCCAGACGACAGGCUUGGCGACCGAUAUUUACAGGUGCUCUGCUUUUAUGUAUGACAGUGACAUAUGAUGCCCUGUUUCCAGUUUGCGCAUAGCACUGUUUCAAUCAGUGUCAAUUCCUCCACAAUUUACAUACCAACCUAUUCUAUGUGAAGAGUCUUGAUCAUAUUCGGAAUGGUAGCUUCCUUCUUUGUGGUAUCAUCACUUUGUGCAUGCGAUAAUCUGAUGGCGGGGUAUGCAAAUAUCACUUUGGUCUACCAGUCAAGAUAUGAGAUGACAUGGUUCACUGAUACUCAGGUUGGGAAAUAAUUUUCUUUCCAGCAUGGUAGUUGGGAAAAGAAACUGGACUCUGUAAAUCAGGGACAUGAUACACAUUUGCUUUGGUCCCAAGCUUCAGUGUGUAAAUUACCAGUGUUGCAAAAUUGUAAACUCUUGUACCGAUGUAUAACCGGAUGGUUAGCUGAAUGGAUAUCAAUUUGAGUCACUUGGGCUCGAUUGUGUUGAAACUGCUGGAACUCAGAGAGCCUGAGAUAUCCAGAGAAUGCAAGCAGAGCACGGCGCAUGCACAGUACCUGUAUGGGCUGACAUUUCGGCGCCAUAGCCUGCCUCCUGCCGAAAGCAUUGCGGAGAUCUGUAUUUUUACUCCAUUUUUUCUGUUUUGCCAUUUCUAAAUUUAUUAAGUGAACUGGUCCUUCCACGAAAGGAAUCAUUUUGUAAAAUAGUCAUCUAUCCA